CCUACGGGUGGCAGCAGUGAGGAAUAUUGGUCAAUGGACGAGAGUCUGAACCAGCCAAGUAGCGUGAAGGAUGACUGCCCUAUGGGUUGUAAACUUCUUUUAUAUGGGAAUAAAAUGUUCCACGUGUGGGAUUUUGUAUGUACCAUAUGAAUAAGGAUCGGCUAACUCCGUGCCAGCAGCCGCGGUAAUACGGAGGAUCCGAGCGUUAUCCGGAUUUAUUGGGUUUAAAAGGAGCGUAGGUGGAUUGUUAAGUCAGUUGUGAAAGUUUGCGGCUCAACCGUAAAAUUGCAGUUGAAACUGGCAGUCUUGAGUACAGUAGAGGUGGGCGGAAUUCGUGGUGUAGCGGUGAAAUGCUUAGAUAUCACGAAGAACUCCGAUUGCGAAGGCAGUUCACUGGACUGCAACUGACACUGAGGCUCGAAAGUGUGGGUAUCAAACAGGAUUAGAUACCCGUGUAGUC
rnacentral:rRNA from 1 species